rnacentral:rRNA from 1 species
ACGCUGGCGGCAGGCUUAACACAUGCAAGUCGAGCGCCCUUUUCGGAGGGAGCGGCAGACGGGUGAGUAACGCGUGGGAAUCUACCUAUCUCUAGGGAAUAACUCAGGGAAACUUGUGCUAAUACCCUAUACGUCCUUCGGGAGAA